AAGGCUAUACUUUCAGGGAUCAUUUUUAUAGCUUAUUACUAGAGGAGUUAAUGUGAAUGUGUAGAGCACCAGAAAACUUGAGGAGGAGGUGCAGCGUUCUCUCCUGAGCAUAAAGCCGGCCCUCAGUAUUGUGUUGCCUCACUGCAACUGCCAUUUGCCAUUGAUGUUGAUUGUUCUCUUUCACUGAGAGAGUAAGAGGACAGGAUACGUUCUGAGUGGC
ensembl:snoRNA U3 Small nucleolar RNA U3